UGGGCGUCAAUAAAGGUAAUCUGGUUGUCGCGCGUUCUGCAUCUCUGCGCGAGCUAAAGAAGUCUCAAAGCUGAAUCUGCCACGAGGCUCGACAACUUCUUGCAUCAACUGUGAUCGCUGUGGCCGCCAAAACAUCCAAAUGUAAGGCGGGCUACAAAGAUUUCAGGCCAAAAGAGAACGCCUCACAUGUGAUGAAGUGUCUGUAUUGGUUGGAAAAACCAGCAGCCCUCCAGUGCUUCAGCCGUCCAACCAUCAACCGUUUCAGACAUCCAUCCUCCCACCACUUCAGCCCCACAGCCGUCCACCAGUGUGCCAACUCCGGACAUUUUACUAUCCUGGUACAUUCUUAUUUUUCUGCACAGUUAGCAAAAAUGAUAUGUUUUUUAGAUAUUCCUGUGUUUUUUUAUCCUCAACAAAUGUUUCUCCAAAGAAAUAUGAAAAUACAGAAUAAUUCAUCUGGUGGUUAUUUUUACACUUUUCCUCAAAUCUUUAAUAAGAAAAAAAUAAUUCAGUUCAAGUUUACUUGUGCUUCUCUUUUUAAUGGGCAUUACAGUUGAUAUAAAACAUAUAACAUGCAAUUAAAAUGCUUUGUAGUUAAAAACAUUUUACACACUAUUAAAAGAUUCUAUAAAAUAUUAUUUAAAUAAAAAAGGAUUCCUUUCCAAGAAAAUGUUGACUACCGUAUAUCUUCCCAUAGUAGCCCUGGCGUUUAUUCCAUCACAGACAGAACAGUGAUGGUUAAUGGGUUUAUUUUGCAGCAAAACUUCAUCAAGAAAUGCAGACAAACAUCAGCAGAUGAACAUUUCAGGAUUUAUUCAAAUGAUGAGAACAUUGGAUUGUGUUCUGAUCAGCACUGGCUGUUGACGUUUCUUUUCUCCUUGAAGCAUCAGCCUCCGUAUCAAAAAUCAUGUUGGUUGUCAUGAGGAUCUCUUUCCUGGAGACACGCCCACCUUUCCGUCUUUGUGCAAUAAUUCAUGUUCAAACCAGUUCUUCUAAGUUGUCGCUUUUCUUUGCAUUUCCACCAGUAAAAAGUAAUACGACAAAAUACUUGCAGAAUUUGUAAAGAUUUGGAUUUUGUAUUAUUAAUUUGCCUUUUUUAGUCUUUUAUUAUAAAAUAACUAUGCAUUAUUACUUUAUUUUAACUAACACAUUUAUCUUAGUUUACAGUAGUCCUCUUAAACAUCUCUUAAACAAGUUUACACUUUUCAUCUUUCAGAAU